rnacentral:rRNA from 1 species
UAGGGAAUCUUGCCACAAUGGACGCAAGUCUGAUGGAGCAACGCCGCGUGAGUGAAGAAGGUUUUCGGACCGUAAAGCUCUGUUGUUGGUGAAGAAGGAUAGAGGUAGUAACUGGCCUUUAUUUGACGGUAAUCAACCAGAAAGUCACGGCUAGCUACGUGCCAGCAGCCGCGGUAAAUACGUAGGUGGCAAGCGUUGUCCGGAUUUAUUGGGCGUAAAGCGAGCGCAGGCGGAAGAAUAAGUCUGAUGUGAAAGCCCUCGGCUUAACCGAGGAAUUGCAUCGGAAACUGUUUUUCUUGAGUGCAGAAGAGGAGAGUAGAACUCCAUGUGUAGCGGUGGAAUGCGUAGAUAUAUGGAAGAAUACCAGUGGCGAAGGCGGCUCUCUGGUCUGCAACUGACGCUGAGGCUCGAAAGCAUGGGUAGCGAACAGGAUUAGAUACCCUGGUAGUCCAUGCCGUAAACGAUGAGUGCUAAGUGUUGGGAGGCUUCCGCCUCUCAGUGCUGCAGCUAACGCAUUAAGCACUCCGCCUGGGGGAGUACGACCGCAAGGUUGA